UUUUUGUUUUUUUACUGAAUUUGUUUUUUUAAUAGAAGUACUACAUCCAAAUUUAAAAGUGAGGAAGUAGAAUAAAAAUAAAGCCACUCAUCAUCUCAACAGCCCCCAAAUGUCACACCACACUUUCUAUGUGAAUAAGUGAAUGAGAGAACGAAUGAAUUUGAUGUAUUUAAUCCAUCCCUCCUGUUGGGACAGCUGCCAUCCCCUCCAGAUCUCUUUGCCGGGGGUAUCUUGGUACAAAGCUCUCUGUUCUCUGGCCUGCCCCUAAUGCCUAAGUACUGAGAGCGUGGUUGAUGGCAGGUGGAUGGCAGAGGCUCUGUUUCACAGACUUUAUUAUUAGUGUUAUGGUUAUGGUUAUUGUUACCACUUUGUGUUGAUAAAGUGGAUUGUUUUCUGAACUGCUUGGUUUAUUUACUUAAUUUUUAAGAUAAAGAAAACACUCUCCAGGUACUACAGAGUUUAAAGAUGAGAUGGGAUAGGAAUCACACAUCACAGUAAAUUUUCAUAUAAAAUAAAGGCUCCGCAGAAAGAACUCUAUGGAGGCACAGAGUAUUUCAAAGAGCAGAGAGCCUGGAAUGAUGAAAAGCUCUUUCAGUACUCUGAGAAAUGAUAUGGAAUGGCACAGGACCCUUUUCCCUGAGACUGUCAAGAGGAGACAAAUACAAUAAGACAGGUAAUUAUAACCCCGUGAGACAAACUGCCCAACACACAUUCAUAAUGCAUUCAUUUGUUGGUGACUCACUUCUUUCUGUAAUUCUUUCACAGACCAGAUUUUUCAGGAUCCAGUGUUUUAGGCUGUUUGUUUUGUGACCGAUGCUCUAUCAGCUCCUGUUGCUCCUCCCCUAGUCUCCAGUUUGGGGCCCCAGGACCUAUAAUCCUACUGAAUUCUAAAGCCCAUCAAAUGGAACAGCCCUCAUUACCUAAAACCUACAGUGAAAUAAUUCUGGGACCAAGUGACACCGGGAGAUUCUAUUCAUUCCCUGAAUUCUCUUACCCUUCAAAUUAAGAGGGCUAAUUCUAUCUGAUGGAUCAAGCUAUUGUUCACAUGUUGAUUCAUUUGGUAGAUCCUGAUUGAGUACCUGUCAUGCAUCAUGCACAGUUACAGCUCUGAGGGUCAAUGUGAGAACAAAGACCCUGCCCUCACCGAAUUCCAUUCUAAGGCUGGCAGGUGGGUAAGAAAGAAGCGAGCAAAUAAUCAAUGCGAGUUUGGAUAUGCUACAAAGGACACAAAACAGGGUACUGGGUUAAAAGUAACUGGGACAUUAGGGGGGUGUUUGGUUAAAAAGAAGGGAAACUACUUUGGUCUGAAAGGUCAGAGAUGUUAAUAUUGGAGUUAAGACCUACAUGGGAGAGAGCCAGUCAGGUGGAAGUCUAAAGUAAAUGUGUCCUAGGAAGAAUGACAGCGAGAGCAGAAAGGAAGUAGAUGUGUUUAAAGAACAGAAAGAAAGCCAUUGGUUGGCUUUUUUUUGGUGGAAGCUCAGAGAACAAAGGGGAGAGUGGUAAGAAGACAAUGUAAAGAAAGCCAGAAAGCAGACCACCUGGGCAGAAAAGGACUCAGUAAGGAGCUCAAUGAAGCACUGAGCUUCUCCCAUAAUAAGCAAGUCUAUCCAUCUGGUCAACCUGCUUCAUGCUCCAUUCUCCCCACAUAACUGGUGGUUCCUCCUAAACUCCUAUUCAUACCAUUUGUAUAUCACUCUUACAAAUCUUCUUACCAGAGCCUGGUUCUGUUCUUUAUGCCCCUGAGCAGAUGUGCCGAAAAAAAGGAGCUCUCAGUCUAAGAAACCAGAGCGACGUCACUCCAAUAUUAUGGUUGAUUCUAUAAAUCCCAACUCAUACCAGGCCUUCUAAACCGUGUCUGAUUCUGCUUUGCUUUUUGGGGUUUAGUACCUUGGGCACUUUGGAGAAGCAAGGAUAUCGUAAGCCCAUAACCUACCCUGACUAAGUGGGGUUCCACUUUCCCAUGUCCUCCCUCCUCCCUACUGGCCCUGCGUCCGAUCCUCCUGUGCUUUGUCUGGCCAUGUUAUUGUGAAGGCUGGAUUGCACAUCACGUGGCCCUGAACAGUACUGUGAUGCUUAAUCAUUGGACUAAUUCACCAGACUUAGCUCCCAUUAAUUCUAGGCUGUUUCAAAGAAUCAAAUCUAGAUUUGUCAUAAUUGUGGACAUUUAAAAAGUACGUUUGGGUUCUGAUGGCAAUUUCCAAAGAGUAAUUCCCAGAAUAGAUAGGAAACUGCCACGUAAUUGGAACAAAGCUAUGACCUCUUCAGGGGUCUACCUGGAAGAAGGACCACAUGCGAGUGCAUAAAUCACUAAUGUAUUUGUUAAUAAUCGGCCUCAAUACCUACCUGCUACCCAUGUCUUUGCGGUCAUAACUCUUGUAGCACUUUGGGGUUCAAAUUCUUAUCUGAUAAAUCAGGCACCAAACUAGCAGAGCCAAGACAGCAAAGCUAAAAAGCCACAUUGCAGAUUUUGGCAUUUUGGGCAACAGCUCCUUUCAGGGCACUGUUUCAGACCCUCAUCCUCUAGGCCGCCCUAUUUUUGCCUCUGGUUUUCAAUCAACAUUCUUUAGAUGGUACUCUCUCCUCCUGGUGCAGCCUGAACAGUGCAACAAGGCAUUUAUGGUUGAGCUUCUCUCCAGAUGAGACCAACCACGGCACCCAGGCC
rnacentral:lncRNA from 1 species